AGACGGAGGGGGCUAGCGUUGUUCGGAUUUACUGGGCGUAAAGAGCGCGUAGGCGGCUAGGCAAGUUUGGAGUGAAAGCCCGAGGCUCAACCUCGGAACUGCUCUCAAAACUGCUUGGCUAGAGUAUGGUAGAGGAUGGUGGAAUUCCCAGUGUAGAGGUGAAAUUCUUAGAUAUUGGGAGGAACGCCAAAAGCGAAGGCAACCAUCUGGGCCAAUACUGACGCUGAGGCGCGAAGGCGUGGGGAGCAAACAGGAUUAGAAACCCGAGUAGUCC
rnacentral:rRNA from 1 species